rnacentral:rRNA from 1 species
CACGUAGGGGGCAAGCGUUGUCCGGAUUUAUUGGGCGUAAAGAGCUCGUAGGCGGUUUGUCGCGUCUGCUGUGAAAGUCCGAGGCUCAACCUCGGAUCUGCAGUGGGUACGGGCAGACUAGAGUGUGGUAGGGGAGACUGGAAUUCCUGGUGUAGCGGUGGAAUGCGCAGAUAUCAGGAGGAACACCAAUGGCGAAGGCAGGUCUCUGGGCCACAACUGACGCUGAGGCGCGAAAGCUAGGGGAGCAAACAGG